CAACUGGUAAGUGGCAGAGCCGUGAUUCAAACCCAGGGGACGGGCCCCCAGAUCUCCUUUUCUUAAUCAGGUUGAAUUGACAGGACUUGGUGACUGAGCAGAUUGUGAGGUCUGGGGAAAGGGAAGGAAGAGUUCCCUUGCCCUUUCUUUGAUUCAGCUCAGUGUCAGAUAGUGGCCUGGUGGCUGGUGGAGAAAUACAGUGAAGAAAAAAACUCCCCCCUCUUUACCCUCCCAGAAAUUCAGGUAAGGAGGUAAAUUCAGCAGAGUAUGAAAGCACACUGAGGUGAGCAUGGGCAGACACAGCUCGCUGGAGUGGUCUCUUCCAAGGCAAGACCUGAGAGACCAUUAAAAUGUGAAGAGGGCAGGAAAAGGGAGCCCCAGGCAGAGGGAAUAGCAUUGAAAAGGCCAGGAGCUAGAGAGCAUGCAAAGUCACAUACACAGUGGAUUGAGGGGAGAGGGGCAUGAGAGACGAGGCCUGGACGUCAGCAAGAAGAAGUCACCCAAGGCCUUGACUUUGAGGCUUCCAUAUUGGGGCUGGGACAAAGUAGGGGUGACAAUGUUGAGGAAGUACUGGGGAAACAGUGGGCUGUUGGCUGAAGCUGGGAACGUGUGAGGAGGAGUUAGGGAGGAGGCAGAGGGAGGAGGCAGAGGGGUGGCGAUAACGAGCUUGGCUUUGGCUUCCUCAAUAUUGGAGGGGGUCACGGCUAAGGUCUCUUCCAGUGCUGACCUUCUCAACUUCCCUGGAAGGAAGGAACAUCUCCCUGCGGCCCCUCCACCCCCAAAUAUUCCGGGCAGGAAGGAGAGGGAUCUGUUUUGUCAACGCAGUUUGCAAUAAAGAAUCUCAUUCAGGGAGGCAAACAGCUGCUUGACUAUUAAUAGGCAGUGGCCUCAGCCGCAGCCUGCUGGGAGGGCCUCGGCAUGCAGUUCUGGAAAGGUGAAGCGGCUCCUUCUGUCUGUCUGGAUUUUGCACCCCGUGGUGGGACAAUUGGCUGGGUGCUUACUUCUCGGAAGCUAACAGGAGAGGGAGGCCAGAGGACCCAGAGCUGGCCCGAGAAGCAGACGUCCAUGUGGACAGGGGAAUGUCUGGUUGGGGUCUCCACAGCUGCUCUCAUGGAAGGUCAGUCACCCACCCUUAAGGGGGUCACAGAGAGAUCAGAGUUGUGUGGCUGGAAGGGAAGCUGGGGUCAGUCUGGAAACAGGAAGACUGAUGAAAGGAACUGGGGGACAGAGAAGGUAGAGGUUGAGCCUGGGAUCAGGGAGACCCCAUGCAUGGGGCAUCCCUGGUUAUGA
rnacentral:lncRNA from 1 species